AAUAAGAGAUGUCAUACUAAUAUUUGAAUGUAAAAACAAACAUAUGCAACAGUCUGAAUAAGUAAAUAAUUUACCUGGAAACUGCAGAGACAAGACACAUACAUGACAAUAUCCUUGUCUCUUGUUAUUGUAAAAGUCAAAAUGUAUAUAUAUUUAUUUUAACAUCUUUAUACAAAGAAGGGGAAAAGAGGAAACCUGACUUUCAUCUGGUAGUCCUGAAUCCUGUCUUGGAGAAUGACCAAUGUAGGCUGCCUAGGGACCAGAGCAAAGAAAGAGCAGGGACACAGUGAUAUGUCCCAGCAUGGUCUCCCAGUCUCCAUUUUGCUGCUCAGGGACUGUCUGACCCAGGGAUGGCUUUUCAGUUCAAUUCCCCAGAGGAGUCAUUUACAUCAUGAGGAGCCUAGCACUCUAGAAGAGCCCAUUGCAAACCUGAGGCUUUCACCAUGAAGAAAUUCCUUUUUGAAAAAGGGAUUAAAAACUUUGGCAGAAAUGCUGCACUUCAAACCCUCACCCAUUUCUGCUAAUACAUGCACAACUUCUCUGACCUUCUCCAGAAUUUCAACACUUUGGAGGCCACCCUACAGGCAUGCUCAUGAAUUCAGUGAAUAUUUGAAUGCAAGUUUUUUACCUGCUUCCUAUUUUGAAAGAAAAAAGAACUGACCCACAUCCUGAAAAGUCUGUUGUGGACAUGGCAAAUUGCUGAACUUUUUCUCAGCAUGAGACCUGAAAAAUGCAUUGAAAAAACCAUCAUUAUGUGUGAUGGAGACCUGCUCUGCUGGACAAGGCUGAACCUUCCUGGCCAUGGCAAGCAGUGAAUGAAUUCUUUAUUCUACUUUGCUUGCAUGUUGAACUGGUUUUAUCUCAACCCAUGAGUUCUCUCUUUUGUUCUGCCCUCCCAAUUCUUUCCUCAUCUCAUUGUGGGUAAGAUGCUGUGUGAUGUUUAGCUGCCUAUCAGGGUUAAACCACAAAAAAA